rnacentral:rRNA from 1 species
UACGUAGGGGGGCAAGCGUUGUCCGGAAUUAUUGGGCGUAAAGAGCUCGUAGGCGGUCUGUCGCGUCGAUCGUGAAAACUUGGGGCUUAACCCUGAGCUUGCGGUCGAUACGGGCAUGGCUGGAGUUCGGCAGGGGAGACUGGAAUUCCUGGUGUAGCGGUGAAAUGCGCAGAUAUCAGGAGGAACACCGGUGGCGAAGGCGACUUCCUGGCCUGUUCUUGACGCUGAGGCGCGAAAGCUAGGGGAGCAAACGGG